CCCACGUUGCGGCGGAGUUCUCGUGUUUGUAGUAACAAGCUGCCCAAAGUGAACAAUUUUAGUGUUUAGAGAUUGUGUAUUUUUUUAAUUGUAUUUUGGAAGGCAGAAUUGUAGAGCUGAAAAGGACUGGCCUCUUCCAUAGAUCUGAAUAAAAUCCCACAUUAUCUGCUUUGAACUCGAAUAUAUGGCAGUGUGGACUCAGAUAACCCAGUUCAAAGCAGAUAUUGUGGGAUUUUCUGCCUUGAUAUUCUGGGUGAUAUGGCAUCAAACUAAAAUACUCCUGAGAGAUGAAGUGAAAACUGGAAGUGGUGCAAUGUGGUUUUUAAAUAACAAUAACAGAGUCGGAAGAGACCACAUGGGCCAUCUAGUCCAGCCCCCUGCCAUGCAGGAAAAUCACAAAGAAGCCCAGGAAGAUCUGUUUAAAAGCUUCCAAGGAUGGAGCUUCCACCACACUCCAAGGCAGAGAGUUCCACUGUUGAACAGCUCUCACAGCCAGGAAGUUCUUCCUAACGUUCAGGUGGAAUCUCCUUUCCUGUAAUUUAAACCCAUUGCUCAGAGUCCUCAGGCCCUUCCACACAGCCACAUAACCCAGAAUAUCAAGGCAGAAAAUACCACAAUAUCUGCUUUGAACUGGUCCACAUUGCCAUAUAUUCCAGUUCAAAGCAGAAAAUGUGGAAUUUUAUUCACCUGUGUGGAAGGGGCCCUAGUUUCCAGGGCAGCAGAAAACAAUACAGCUCCCUCUUCCUUAUGCGGUCCAUUGACAUAUUUAUAUAUGGCUAUCAUGUCUCCUCUCAACCUUCGUGCCAGCAGGCUAAACAUCCCAAGCUCUUUAAGACGAUCCUCAUAGGGAUUCAUGGUCUCCAGGCCUUUGAUCAUUCCGAGUUGCCCUCCUCUGGACAAAUUCCAGCUUUUCGAUAUCUCUUUUGAAUUAUGGUUUCCAGAAUUGGACACAGUAUUCCAGGGAGAUCAAACUGGCUCCCCAUCUUCUGGCAGACAUUCGUAAGUUGUUCGGGUUUUUGUUCUUUCCUUAAAUGUAUAUCAAAACAAAACCAGAACAGUUUUACAGUAGUUUUUAUUUAUUUAUUUAUUUAUUUAUAUAUAUAACACCUUCUAAAUCAUUUUAGAUAAAUUGCAGUUUUGAAUUUUUACCUUGGACUUUUUAAAAUUGCUUUGUUUCACCUUGAGUCAGUUCUGUAAAAAUGGCAGGAUAUAACUGAAUAAAACAUGCCUGGAAGGUUCAGGACCUGCUUAUCUCUGCGAUCGCCUCCUCCCCUAUGAACCCACAUGGGCCUUGAGAUCCUCCGGGGAGGCCCUUCUCUUGUUCCCCGCCUUCAUCUCAGGUGUGGUUGGUGGGGACGAGGGAGAGGGCCUUCUCGGCUGUGGCCCCUCAGCUCUGGAACUCCCUCCCCAGGGAGAUCAGACUGGCACUUUCCCUGUCCACCUUUCAUAGGACCUUAAAACAUGGCUGUAUCGAUGCACCUUCGAAUGAAUUGUUCUAGUUAGAUAUUAACUUGUCACAAUUAUUGCAUUUUAUCAAUAUCCCUCACCCUUGUUGAUUUUAAUCUUGUAAUCUUCCCUGAUUACCCUAUAUUAUUAUCCUCGAGUCUCACGUAGAAUCUGCACAAGCUCACCCUUACAUAUUUGUACUAUGCUCUAGGUUUGAAGAAAUGGAUAUGUUUAUGCUGUUUUAUGCUGUGUAAUGUUGUUUUUAUUGUUUUAUGUUGUUUUAAAUUAUAAAUUACGACUCUGUUUUAAUGUAUGAUGAUGCUGGGCUUGUCCCCAUGUGAGCUGCCCCGACUCCCUUCGGGGAGAUGGGAGCAGGAUAUAAAAAUAAAGUCAUUAUUAUAUUAUUAUUAUUUAACUGAAAAUGAACAUUUUUUCAAUCAAGUUUCAUGUUGUGGUGUUUUAAAAACCCAAUACUGUCUUUAUCCCUUUUCAUUGUUGGUAGAAAUGUAUUUUACAUUAUCAGUGAGUUAAUUCCUUGAUUUAAUUUGUCUUCUAGGACUUUUGCUCAGAUAAUACUUAUUUGAACUCUUAACUUGCUGGUACAAUUUGCUUUAUGGAAAGUUCUUAAGUGUCAUUAAUUCUUCAAAUGAAGCCAUUGGUUUGAAAUGUAUUUCUAUACAUUACUGACUGGGUGGGACAUCAAAUAAAGCAAUACACUACCAUUCAGAUGUUUGUGUGAAAUGGUCAAAAAUAGAUUAUUAUUAUUAUAUUUAUACCCCACUUUAUCUCUCCCACACGAGACUUAAAGUGGCUUAAUAUAAAAAUAGGCUUGUUAUUAAUUUCUACAACAUGUAGGACCCUUGUUACAAUGAACACCAACACCUCAGAAGUAACGCAGUCACUUUUCAUUUCCCAGUUAUCUUAUUUUCUAAAUAAAAUGAAAAAAAAAAGAUUUAUCUACAAAGAUUCCAAGUUGGUAGAAAAUAAAAAAUUUAAAAAUAGAGAAGACCUCAAAGGUCUCAAAAAGAACACGUUCCUUAUUUUUAUUGGUCAUGUAUGCAUUACAUUUGAAAUAUAAAAAAGUGUUCCAAAAGUUUUCCUAAUACAGACCCUCUUAUCACCCUCCACCUUGAUAUUUAGUUUAACAAGCCUUAUUCCAUAAACAAGACAUGGGGCAUUCCAACCUGUUCUCCUAUCAACAGUUUUGCUUCCAACUCACCAAAAUACACAUAAGCUUUAAUAAGAAACCACAUCCUAAGAAACUUAGCUCACCUGAACCUAUUCGUUGUAAUAAAUACUAAGCAGCAUCUACUCCACCAAAGGAUUAUUUUAAGGAAGCAAAAAAUAAUAAUCCUCAUUAGCUGUGGAGGGACAUAAACUAAGGGGAGUGGUAAAUGUUAUACAAAAUAUUUGAACAGCAUUAUUCUCCACUCAUUAAAGUGCUGAAAACUGGAUUUUUCUCUUUUCUAACUCUUGUUUUGGUUAGGCAUUCCUUUUUUACUUCAACCAAUUUCAAUUUUUUUUCAGUAGGAAUAGUGACAAUUGAAAUGUUAUUUUUAUUUUAAGAACACUAAUAGACAAUGGCAUGUACACAGACCAUCUGGUAUAAUUCAUAAGCCUUCCAAAAUCUUUAAAGAUGCAUUUAAAAAGCUGCAGAGUUCUUUGGGAAAAAUCAUUUUUCUUGCUAGCUCUACAUGUGAAACAGCAGUUCUAGAGCUUCAGUGUUGCAAUUGAGCUGCUCUAGGUGAUCACAGAGGUUUCAUUCCACUAAGUCUCAUUUUCAGCCAACUGAGGCUGCAAUCCUAUCAUCAAUUGCCUGUAAGUCCAAAAUGCAAUUAGAUUUACUUUUGAGUUUGAUGUAUACAAGAUUAUAAUGUAACUCUAUGGAAAAGGGGUGAUUCAAGUGAUACUGUAACAUUAAACGAAAUUUCAGUUCACUUUCUGCCAACUAGCAAAAGAAAGAGACAAUGGGCUGUUUGUAUCCUAACAUGCAAUACUAAACAUGAGUAAUAGAUCAGUUUAUAAAAUUUAAAAAUACAUAUCACACAUUCACAGACAUAUCAGUUAUAAGUAGGGCCUUGCGUAAAGAUAAUGAAGCGUCAUCGGCUGGCACGGAUGCCUCUAAAAUCUGCUCUAGAGCUAGACAGCUUCAUUCCUAGGUAGAAUUAUUAUGUUUCCAUUCCAGUCAAACAUACAGGUGAUGAAAAUUACCAAGUAUGUGUUUACACAUCUUUAACUGGAAUUUCGUUAAUCAAAACAACUAUGCAGUUUCUCUUUUGGAACAGAUUACUUCCUGGCUUGAUUCCUCAGUAUCUUCUGAAAAAUGCUUGGUUUUGGGACACUUCUGUUAGCAAAGUUCUUAGCAGAUGCUGCUGCUGGACAUGCUCAGUUCAUUGUCAUGGAUACAAAAUAA